GAUGAAGAACGUAGCGAAAUGCGAUAAUUAAUGUGAAUUGCAGAAUUCCGUGAAUCAUCGAGUUUUUGAACGCAUAUUGCGCCCCUUGGUAUUCCGAGGGGCAUGCCUGUCCGAGCGUCAUUGCAACCCUUCAAGCAUGGCUUGUGUGUUGGACGGCCGCCCCAGUGUGGGCGGGUCCCAAAUGCAGUGGCGGCGCCGCGAUCCGGGUGCUCGAGUGCAUGGAAACCACGCGCUCGUUAGGCCCCGUCGGGCGCCGGCCGACCUAAUUAUCUUCGUUCUGGUUGACCUCGGAUCAGGUAGGAAUACCCGCUGAACUUAAGCAUAUCAAUAAGCGGAGGA
rnacentral:misc_RNA from 1 species